AUGUAGCUGACGAGUUUCAAAUAGGACGAAACGCGCAUUCUGGAU
rnacentral:hammerhead_ribozyme from 1 species